rnacentral:rRNA from 1 species
AAUAGAUACCCUGGUAGUCCACGCUGUAAACGAUGGGCACUAGGUGUGGGGGUGUCGACUCCCUCCGUGCCGAAGCUAACGCAUUAAGUGCCCCGCCUGGGGAGUACGGCCGCAAGGCUAAAACUCAAAGGAAUUGACGGGGGCCCGCACAAGCAGCGGAGCAUGUGGUUUAAUUCGACGCAACGCGAAGAACCUUACCUGGGCUUGACAUGUUCCUGACAUCCCUGGAAACAGGGCUUCCCUUCGGGGCAGGAUCACAGGUGGUGCAUGGCUGUCGUCAGCUCGUGUCGUAAGAUGUUGGGUUAAGUCCCGCAACGAGCGCAACCCCCGUCGCAUGUUGCCAGCAUUUAGUUGGGGACUCAUGCGAGACUGCCGGUGACAAACCGGAGGAAGUGGGGAUGACGUCAAGUCAUCAUGCCCCUUAUGUCCAGGGCUACACACGUGCUACAUUGGCGCGUACAGAGGGCUGCGAUACCGCGAGGUGGAGCGAAUCCCUUAAAGCGCGUCUCGGUUCGGAUUGCAGGCUGAAACCCG